rnacentral:miRNA from 1 species
UCCCUUCCAUUCAAUGAGGUGUUACACCUCAUCAAUCGGAAGGGAUUCCUUCUGGUUGAUGAGGUGUAACAACCUCAUCAACUGGAAGGGA